GGGGGUGUGGUCCAACGGGACGGGCACCUGCCUUGCAAGCAGGAACAUGCGGGUUCGAGUCCCGCCAUCUCCACCA
rnacentral:tRNA from 1 species